ensembl:snRNA U6 U6 spliceosomal RNA
GUGCUCACUUUGGCAGCACAUAUACUAAAAUUGGAAUGAUACAGAAAAGAUUAGCAUGGCCCUUGCACAAGGAUGACACACAAAUUUGUGAAGCGUUCCAUAUUUAA